UACGGAGGGGGCCAGCGUUGUUCGGAAUUAUUGGGCGUAGAGGGCGCGUAGGCGGCUUGGUAAGUCCGUUGUGAAAUCCCUCGGCUCAACCGAGGAACUGCGACGGAUACUGCUUGGCUUGAGUCCCGGAGAGGGUAGCGGAAUUCCCAGUGUAGCGGUGAAAUGCGUAGAUAUUGGGAGGAACAUCGGUGGCGAAGGCGGCUACCUGGACGGGUACUGACGCUGAUGCGCGAAAGCGUGGGGAGCAAACAGG
rnacentral:rRNA from 1 species